rnacentral:rRNA from 1 species
UACGUAGGUGACAAGCGUUGUCCGGAUUUAUUGGGCGUAAAGCGAGCGCAGGCGGUCCGGUAAGUCUGAUGUGAAAGCCCACGGCUCAACCGUGGAACGGCAUUGGAAACUGGCGGACUUGAAUGUAGCAGAGGAAAGUGGAAUUCCAUGUGUAGCGGUGGAAUGCGUAGAUAUAUGGAGGAACACCAGUGGCGAAAGCGACUUUCUGGGCUAUGAUUGACGCUGAGGCUCGAAAGCGUGGGGAGCGAAC